rnacentral:rRNA from 1 species
CCUACGGGAGGCAGCAGUGGGGAAUAUUGGGCAAUGCGCGUAAGCCUGAACCAGCGAAGUCGCGUGAGGGAUGAAGGUUCUAUGGAUCGUAAACCUCUUUUAUAAGGGAGUAAAGUGUGGGACGUGUCCUGUUUUGUAUGUACCUUAUGAGUAAGAGUAGGCUAGCUCCGUGCCAGCAGCCGCGGUGAGACGGAGGAGCCGAGCGUUGUCCGGGGUUAUUGGGUUUAAAGGGUGCGUAGGCGGCCUUGUAAGUCAGCGUUGAAAGGCUGUGGAUCAACCAUAGAAUUGCCGUUGAAACUGGGAGGCUUGAGUAUGUGUGAGGCAGGCGGAAUGCGUGGUGUAGCGGUGAAAUGCUUAGAUAUCACGCAGAACCCCGAUUGCGAAGGCAGCCAGCCAAGCCAUGACUGACGCUGAUGUACGAAAGCGUGGGGAUCAAACAGGAUUAGAUACCCGAGUAGUC